UACGUAGGGGGGCAAGCGUUGUCCGGAAUUAUUGGGCGUAAAGAGCGUGUAGGCGGUCCGGUAAGUCAGCUGUGAAAGUCAAGGGCUCAACCCUUGAAAGCCGGUUGAUACUGUCGGGCUAGAGUCCGGAAGAGGCGAGUGGAAUUCCCGGUGUAGCGGUGAAAUGCGCAGAUAUCGGGAGGAACACCAAUGGCGAAGGCAGCUCGCUGGGGACGGUACUGACGCUGAGACGCGAAAGCGUGGGGAGCAAACAGG
rnacentral:rRNA from 1 species